CCUACGGGAGGCAGCAGUGGGGAAUAUUGGGCAAUGGGCGCAAGCCUGACCCAGCAACGCCGCGUGAAGGAAGAAGGCUUUCGGGUUGUAAACUUCUUUUCUGAGGGACGAAGAAAGUGACGGUACCCCAGGAAUAAGCCACGGCUAACUACGGGCCAGCAGCCGCGGUAAUACGUAGGUGGCAAGCGUUAUCCGGCUAUAUUGGGUGUAAAGGGCGUGUAGGCGGGAAAGCAAGUCAGAUGUGAAAACUGAGGGCUCAACCCUGGGCCGGCAUUUGAAACUGUUAUUCUUGAGUGCUGGAGAGGCAAUCGGAAUUCCGGGUGUAGCGGUGAAAUGCGUAGAUAUACGGAGGAACACCAGUGGCGAAGGCGGAUUGCUGGACAGUAACUGACGCUGAGGCGCGAAAGCGUGGGGAGCAAACAGGAUUAGAUACCCGUGUAGUC
rnacentral:rRNA from 1 species